UUGAAUAAUUUUCAGAGGAGA
rnacentral:piRNA from 1 species